AUCUCCGCCGCCGCCCCUGCCCGAGAACCCCACACGUCUCCCAGUCCACUGGAAUCGAGCAGCGACAGCCUCCCUCCGUCUCCACCCCUGCUCCGGCGGUCGCGGGCUUCGGAACUGGCAAGGAGGGUUCGACCCGCACUGGACAUUGGAUGGGAGGCGGCCCUGAUAUGUCUCCCAGUCCACCGGAGAUGCGCAGGAUGGCAAGGCGAGGCUCGACUUCAGGCUCGCCUCCUCCUGCGCGGAGAGACGACGAGGGCGACCAUGCGCUCAAGGACCAGUAUCCCCGUCUUGUCGCGCCCCAUCACCACCUUCUCCAGGGCUUCAACGCCACUUCCCAUGAAGCCCUCCAGGGCGACGACGAUAACGCAGUACGCACUGACCCCGCGCCAUCUGGUCUCCCUUCCGUCGCCACCGAGUCUCACUGCCUCCGUCGUCACCCGAAGCUGGAUCUGGACCUUCUCCUCGACCAAGGGUCUCACACGGUCUGGCCCUGAUGCAUCCUAAGUGUGAGACAGGGAGCUAGACAACACUUGAGAUUUUUAGAGGUGAUUGUCAAAUGAUGGAGUUGCAAUAAUAUUAUAGGUAAAAGUGCAAGUGCACAUAAGUGUACCUUUCACUAUCCAAUUCAGAAUCAACACCUUCGAUGGCUCAUCCAAAAUGUCAGGAGUGUUGGCCUAUUGUGACUUUUGGUUCUGUUGUCGCCAAUUGAAUGUGGAUCAACCUGUUCAUCAAGGAUUUGUUGUACAACUCAGACUUUUUGCUAAUGCUAAAGAUAAUAUUCUCAACUUUGGUAGUACAACUUAGAAUUUUGCAUCUAGCUUGUAUGCAUAUGGAGAUGUAAAACUACCAAAUCCGAAUGCAGCUGUGAAUACGAAAUUGGUUCAUAUUUGGAGUCCUGCUCAUGAAAUCGAGUAGAGUUACACCAGUACACCACACAGCCUACCACUGCACUUGUUGAUGAACUUGAGUCCUACUUAUUAUUUUUCGUGGGUCUACUGAAAUUUAAUAACUUCUAGGAGCACGGUUUGAUGCUUCAUGCUCGGGCUGUUGUAGUUAUUCAAGCACUACAAAUUCUAAAUUGAAAGAUUGUGAACACCACUGUCUCUUUUGUGCAGUUAUUGGGCUCCUUUAAAUGAAUCUUAAUAUGGCUUAUAGGAGAGAAACCAUUUAGCCUCCAAUAUGCUUGAUUUAGGGUGGUACCUAUAUAUGCUUGCUAGGUUAUUCUUUGGUUACACUGAAAUGUUGUUUGCGCACACAUUGUCUGUUUAGAGUGGUGCACUUCUUGUUUUUCCAGGCCUCGUAAGGUCAGUGAAAUACUUUUCAAGCCAUGGAUCACGUCAUGGUGGCUUUGGCUGGGAAGAAGGCGGCCAAGGCGAUGCUGGAGGAGAGGGAUCUGCACAAGUUUGCCUCUAUCCUUGCGUCGGCACCCGUCGAGAAGAAGUGGAUUGCAGGUGAGCUUGCAGUGGCAGUCGAGUCAAAGCAGGUUUCUGGGCUGUAAUCACUGAGGUUGUGCUAGAUCUGCAUCAUAGGUAAACCUGCAUAUUGAUGUCAAAUUGCUGUCGGUUGUUGGUAGGAUCCUAAGAGAGACCACUUCGUCAUCGUCAAUUACAGUGAGAGGAGAUCAUGAUAAGAAAGAACCGUGGAGAUCAGGACGAAGAAAAUAGCACAACAUUGGUAAUUUUGGGAUUGCACGCAUCUACAAGAGAAAGAGCAUGAAUACAAGUUCAUGUGCUGGUUAUUUUUAUAGAUAUAUGCAAGUCGUUCUUUCUAAUUGAAAUCACUGCGCUUAAUGUCUUUGAUGCAAGUUGAUGGGAUGUAUUUUCAAAGCAGUGAAGCAGGCCUGUAAAUUUACCAAAGAACAUCUUCUUGAAAAUGGACCAAUUGUUAUCCCCGCCGCCACUCGGUCGAUCUCUGGUUGGCGGAGCCGCCUACCUCCUCCGGCGGGACGAUGGGAACCCCCUGUCCUGCCAUUCCUCUUGACGUUGUACCCC